ACGGCCACAUCACGUCGAAACAUUGGUUCCCGUACGAUCAUUGAAGUCAAACAACGUCGAGCCUAGUCAGAACAUAGAGUGGGUGAUCGCUUGGGAAUCCCAGGUGCUGUAA